GAUGAACGCUCGCUACAGGCUUAACACAUGCAAGUCGCGCGGCAGCAUGGGGGUUGCUUGCAAUCCCCGAUGGCGACCGGCGCACGGGUGAGUAACGCGUAUCCAAACAGCCCUUCACCACGGGAUAACCCGGCGAAAGUCGGCCUAAUACCGUAUGUUGUCCAUUGACGGCCUCCGAUCUGGACGAAAGUUCUGCCGGUGCAUGAUGGGGUUGCGUCCGAUUAGCUGGACGGCGGGGUGACGGCCCACCGUGGCGACGACCGGUAGGGGUUCUGCGAGGAAGGUCCCCCACACUGGAACUGAGACACGGUCCAGACUCCGACGGGAGGGAGGAGGGAGUAAUAUUAGUCAAUGGGCGUAAGCCUGAACCAGCCAAGUAGCGGGCAGGAUGACGGCCGUAUGAGUGGUAAACUGCUUUUAUGCGGGGAUAAAGUGGCCCACGUGUGGGUUUUUGCAGGUACCGAAUGAAUAAGGACCGGCUAAUUCCGUG
rnacentral:rRNA from 1 species